rnacentral:rRNA from 1 species
AUUGAACGCUGGCGGUAUGCUUAACACAUGCAAGUCGAACGGUAGCAGGCCUUCGGGCGCUGACGAGUGGCGGACGGGUGAGUAACGCGUAGGAAUCUGCCUCAUAGUGGGGGACAACGUGGGGAAACUCACGCUAAUACCGCAUACGCCCUACGGGGGAAAGCGGGGGAUCUUCAGACCUCGCGCUAUGAGAUGAGCCUGCGUUAGAUUAGCUAGUUGGUAGGGUAAAAGCCUACCAAGGCGACGAUCUAUAGCUGGUCUGAGAGGACGAUCAGCCACACUGGGACUGAGACACGGCCCAGACUCCUACGGGAGGCAGCAGUGGGGAAUAUUGGACAAUGGGCGCAAGCCUGAUCCAGCAAUACCGCGUGUGUGAAGAAGGCCCUAGGGUUGUAAAGCACUUUCAAUUGGGAGGAAAACCUACCGGUCAAUACCCGGUAGCUUGACAUUACCUUUAGAAGAAGCACCGGCUAACUCCGUGCCAGCAGCCGCAGUAACAC